GCCUGAUGCAGCCAUGCCGCGUGUGUGAAGAAGGCCUUCGGGUUGUAAAGCACUUUCAGCGAGGAGGAAAGGUUACUGGCUAAUAUCCAGUAGCUGUGACGUUACUCGCAGAAGAAGCACCGGCUAACUCCGUGCCAGCAGCCGCGGUAAUACGGAGGGUGCGAGCGUUAAUCGGAAUUACUGGGCGUAAAGCGUGCGCAGGCGGUUUGUUAAGCGAGAUGUGAAAGCCCCGGGCUCAACCUGGGAACUGCAUUUUGAACUGGCAAACUAGAGUCUUGUAGAGGGGGGUAGAAUUCCAGGUGUAGCGGUGAAAUGCGUAGAGAUCUGGAGGAAUACCGGUGGCGAAGGCGGCCCCCUGGACAAAGACUGACGCUCAUGCACGAAAGCGUGGGGAGCAAACAGGAUUAGAUACCCUGGUAGUCCACGCCGUAAACGAUGUCUACUCGGAGUUUGGUGUCUUGAACACUGGGCUCUCAAGCUAACGCAUUAAGUAGACCGCCUGGG
rnacentral:rRNA from 1 species